GCUGAGUGUGGUGGCGCACACCUGUAAUCCCAGCUACUCAGGAGGCUGAGGCAUGAGAAUCACUUGAACCCAGGAGGUAGGGGUUGCAGUGAGCUGAGAUCAUGUCACUGCACUCCAGCCUGGGUGACAGGGUGAGAGUCUGUCUCAA
ensembl:misc_RNA Metazoa_SRP Metazoan signal recognition particle RNA